AUGGCAGAAUACAAACCACUGUUUUGUCACUGGAUUGUUGUGAAAGAAGACCAUAAACAUUACAUUUCCAAUGAUGUUAAAGAGCCGACUCACCAAAACAAACUCUACACCAGCCAUGUGUUUUGUGGACCCCAGCAGAGCUUCCUUAUCCUUCCUCUUUCUUCCAGAAUCCUCCAUCGUCCUUUCGUCUCGAUCACAUCUCUUUUCUUCUCCUCUUGCUCUCUGACUCCACACAAACACGUGUCCUGCCUUCAGCCACGUCGUUUGCUGGAACAGCCGUCAGAAUUGCUGGAACGGACUUUUGUUCUUAGUUCGACGGUAGCCAUGGCGACCACCGGGUCACGAUGUUUAUUUGCUGCAACCACAUAG
rnacentral:rRNA from 1 species